rnacentral:lncRNA from 10 species
UGGAGGGAAUGAGGAAAUACCAGACAAAGCCGGUAAAUUAUAACAAAGUGAAGGAAAUUACUCAGGAAGGGAAUGACAAUUCAGCUGUGUACUUUAACAGGCUCCCUGAGGCUUUCAGAAAGUAAAGUUAUAUAGACCCGGAGCAUGCAGAGGGUCAUACACUUCUAGCCAUACAUUUCAUUACCCAAGUGGCACCAGACAUUCAGAGAAAGCUCCAAAAGCUGGGAACUAGCCCCCACAUCCCUCAGGCAGCAUUUGUAGCACAGGCCUUUAAGGUAUUUAAUAAUCAUGACUAGUCAGAGGAGGAUGAGAAGAAUAAGAUAAUGAAAAAAAAAACAGGGCACAAAUUUGAGUUGCCAUAAUUACAAGUCUGCCUCAAGAUAACCCUAUGCAACAGAGAAACCCUGGAUGAGACAUGGUUAAACCACUCCUGGCAUCAGCAAGCUGGGAUGAAACCAGUGUGCUAGCUGCAAGAAGGAAGAACACUAGAGAAAGCAUUGUCCACUCCAUUCUGGGAAGUGGAGAUGAAGUGAGCCUCCACAGCCUACUCCUUUUAUAGCAUCUUGGAUGAGAAGGCUAUCCCCUCUGACUGAGGGGCCCCAAGAGCUUGCCCAGCUUCAGUCUUGAAGUCUUGAGAAAUUUCAUCAUCGUCACCUUGGUGGAGCCUCGAGUCACCUUCUAUGUGGCAGUGUUGUCACCUCAAAGCAGUUUUGAAGUCGCCUCCACUUGGGCCCUGGUCUCCAACUCAUAAUCAGUUACCAUUAUUGGCUUGGGGUGUCCAUACUUGGUGCUUUGGAUAAUUCAUAGAUUAGAACAUUGAAUCAUUAAAUCAGCUAAUAACAUUGCUCUAGUUUUUACUCAAAGACUUUCUAUUUACCCCCCCACCUUUUCUGCAUUGUUAAGCAGUUUUGCAGAAACCAUAGUUCUAUUAAGCAUCUGACACAACUUUAUUCAAACUUUUUUCACAUCAAAAGGUAGAAGUUAUUCCCCCUCCUCUUGACUCUUGUCUACCCUUGUUUUUUGCUUUGACUAAUGAAUGAGGCAAAAGUGAUUCUUUGCCAGUUCUGGACCUAGCCUUUAAGAGGACUGGAUGUAUUUUCUUUCUCCCUGUUGGAAAAUUAGGGAAGUCCAACUAUUCUGAGACCAUAAUUAUGGGAAAGAUCCCAAGCUAACCUCACGGAGAUCCAUUGCUAAGGAACACUUUCUACAUGAUUGAAGCCUUCUUGGAACUGAAUGCUGCCAAACUAGUGAUCCACGCAGGCAUCAUGUGGAAGAAUACAAGAGUCCAACUGUGUCCUGUCAAUGAGAAAAUUGUAAGAAAUAUCAAAAUGUUUUUUGUUUAAUGGGUCUAAGAUUUUUCUUUUAUUUAUUUAUUUUUUUAACUUUUAAGCUCAGGGGUACAUGUACAGGGUGUGCAGGUUUGUUGCAUAGGUAAAGCUAUGUCAUAUGGGUUUGUAUACAGAUUGUCUCAUCACCUAGGUAUUAAGCCUAGUAUUCAUUAGUUAUUUUUCCUACUCCUCCCACCUUACACCCUCCAAUAGGCCCCAGUGUGUAUUGUUCCCCUCUAUGUGUCCAUGAGUUUUCAUUAUUUAGUUCCCACUUACGAGAACAGGCCAUAUUUGGUUUUCUGUUCCUACAUUCGUUUGAUAAGAAUAACGAUGUUUUUGUUUUAAACCAAUGUGUUUUGGGGUGUUGUGCUGUAACAAAUAAGUGAUAAAUCAUUUUGAUAGUAUCCAACAAUCACUCUUAGUAAACCUUUUGCUUAUAGUAAUCUAAACAUUUUUAUAUGUAUAAUGUAAUGAGUUUUCCUUUAAAAAAACAAUUUAUUGUGAUGUCCAGAUGCCUUCUAAUUAACAUGAGAAAAACAAGAAACACUCACUGUCACCAUGAGUAUUUAAUGUUAUAGUAGACUGUAGUUCACACAAACAGAUGCUUAAUAGAAGACAGAGUGGCAGGACUAUGAAAGAGAAUCAUCUAUUAUUAUUAAUUAAUUCUAUGACUGUUUAUCAAAAGAUAAUUUUAAAAUUAAACCAAGGAGAAAAGGUCAACAAAUUAAAAUAAAUCCCCAAUUACAAAUUAAAAAAUAAAUCGUCUCAUUCAGAAUAUACCAAAUCAAUGAAACCUUAAGGAAAUCAUUCACUAGCAUGAACAAAUAUGGGAUAAAACAUGUUGUUGAUAAAGACAGAAAUACAUUUUUAUUUUAAAUUUACUUUAUAAAGCUAGUCAAUUAAAAUAUUCACAGUUAUUUGUGUUUGCUUGUUUGUUUGUAAUGUGGUGGACAUAGGGCUCCAGAGAGUGAUUCUAAAAUUUUUCUAAGAGGGAAAAAAUAAAAUAUACAAGAGAAACUACUCUUGAAAUCAUUAAAAAUUAUUGAAAGUAAAAUAGUGGGCUCAAUCAAAUAGUAACUCAAGCAAAUGACUGUGGUAUUGAAAUACCAAUUAAAAGACAACUCAAAUGCCAACAACUAGGUCCUAAUUAUAAAAAUUUGGUAUAGAAUAUAUAGCAUAAAAACAAAAGAAGACUAUGUAUUCUACUGUGUUGAGAUACGAGUUUUAAAAUACUAAAAACUCAUUAGAAACUCAAAUUAUUGUAUUCAAAGCUAUAUUGUAUCUUCCAUAUAGUGUUAAAUAUAAAAAAUUUAAAACAAUACAAUAUUUAAAUAUAAAAAUAAAAUAAAAUAUAAAAUAUAUGUAUAUAAAUAUACAUAUUUUUAUAUAAAAAUAAAAAAAUUAUAAAAAAGGAAGAAAGUUUAGGGCCUAUUUCUAUUGAUCUACACACUCAAAAAAUGAAAAUUCAAAUGAAGCAUGCAUUGAGAAAAUAAUUAAAGGACUUUCAAUCUGGUUAUGACAUAAAAUGUCAUUAAAAGUUGUUAUUCUCACACUAUCCAUGAGAUCAGUCUGGAUAAUCUAUAAAAUCUUAGUUUGUUUUACAUCCAUUAAAGCAGUGCUGUCCAAUAUAAUUUUCAGUAAUAAAGAAACUGUUUUAUAUCUGCACUGUUCAAUAGAAUAGUCUCUAGCACAAUGGUUGAACUAAUUUACACUCCCACCAACAGUGUAAAAGUGUUCCUAUUUCUCCACAUCCUCUCCAGCAUCUGUUGUUUCCUGACUGAAAAAAAAAAAAAGACAGUGGUCCUGUAAGAUUAUCAUGGAGCACAUAUAAAAACCUGAUAUAUCGAACUUGAUAUUGGCAUUUCAGAUCAGGUAGGGGAAAUAAUUGAUAUUCAAUAUUCAGUAAUGAUGUUGGGACAUUUGGUUUUUC